rnacentral:lncRNA from 1 species
GGCAACCCCAUUAGCCUGUGUAUUUUCCCAGACCCAAAUGUGCUAGACUUAUGUCCACUGGCCAUGCAAACACAUCUGUUGAUAGUAAACCUAAAGGGUUUUUAAAGUACAUAACAACCUUUCACCUUAAAGUCUUUACCAUUACUUGUGAACUGUAUAGUGUGUGGUACAGUGAGACACUGUCUCUUUUUCCCUUGGUAAAAAGAGGACAAUAUUGGGUGUCUGCUUUGGAAGUGAAAUGUCUUUACUCAAAUCACAGGUGUGCUCUGAGAAGGAAUGAGAGAGAGAGAAAGGAAAGGAAAUAACCUCAUCGCUUUCUAUGCUAAAUGCGGCCCAGCCCUGCUCAACCUGUUCUCAUUAUCUUAAUUCCCAGGAAUCUUUCUUGCAAAUCAGUCCAGGGAGUUAAUUUGUUUUUCACCAUAGAUAAAGUUGUUUGUUCAUUUGUUUAGGUCGUAGCUCAAGGAGAGUUGUAUGUCCUCUCUCUCUCUGCGUUUUCAGGCUGGAAUCAUUGGCAGCAGCUAGAGUCUCAGGACAUGAAUGUCCACUGAAGCGAAUGUCUUGGAGGGGUUGGUAGAACGUUGUUUUGUUGAUGAAGAGAAGAAUAAUGUCUGUAUGUGGGAUGACGGGACCAGGGCUUGGUCUGUCUGUGUUCCUGUUGGCUCUGCUUCAUCUUCAAUGCUCAGCCCUGAACAACUACUCUACGCUCCCAAAUAACGUAUCAGUGGCUGUUGGCAAGCCUGCUGCCUUCCAGUGUGGUGUGUCCCCUCCUAGACAACUCAACUUCACUCUCUAUGGUAGCCAUAGAAACAUAACCCUCAUCUGCCCAGGAGACCACACUGAGUAUCUGGCUGCCCAGUCAAUAAAAGGGUACUGUGAUAACACAGGUAAGGAGCUCUUUGCAAUAUGGCUUAUCAGUGGGACAUCCCGCUCUGACAACCACACACAUGUGGUAUGUGAGAGCUCAGGACGACCACUAGUGGAUGGAUACCUCUGGGUGUACGGUAAAUACAUCUCUCUAAUAUACCUUCCCUGAGCGUAUGGUAUUUGACGUUGUCAUCAUUAGCUAACCCUAAUCUCUUUGUCUGUCUGUCUGUCUUUCCUGUCUAUCCCGUCUGUCUCUCUAUCCUGUUUGUCUGUCUGUCUGUCCUCUUCGGACACAUUUUCAGAGGACGGCAGUUACUUUGCCACCCUCAUUGGCUGCGUCAUUGGUGGUUUCUUUGGUAUCCUCAUCGUCUUUGGUCUGUCAUACACUGUGCUCAGGAGAUCUGAGAGGUUCCAGCUCUGUUUCAGUAAGUACCUCUCUCCUUCAGCCCUAACAGAGGAUGGACCAGAGAAUGAUGCAGCGUGACGUUCAUAUGGUUCUCUUCUCUUUUCUGUGUUUGUGUCAACAGGGGGGAAAGAUCGUGAGGAUGACGUCACCACAAUGGUGACAAAGGAUUAAACACACACCUUUCAAUACUGUUGGAUUUACUUAUUCAGCUUCUUAAAGGUGGCACUUUGUGGGAGUUUCUGCAUAUGCAGAUUUUGAUUGUAAUUUCUAUUUUGUUUUACUGUUCUAUUAUUUGCUUAUCUAGCAGUAUGCAGUAUCUGAUACUGGCAUCAGUUUCUGUGUUUUUUAUCUUAUUAAAUGUAGCUAAACAUAGGAAGUUAAACAAAAUGUUGCAUUUUGAAAACUCCCAUAUAUCAUAUUCUCACCCAUACGUUUUUAGAUUUGUUUUGCCUUGGUUUGUUCAGUCGCAGUUCUACUAUUUGUCCAGCAGAGAGCAGCCAUGACAGUACAGAAACUGAAGUUCAAUGAUGCUGGGAUACUACUAAAGCGUUUUAAUAAUGUACUAUAAUUGUGCGUCUCUGACUUUUCCUCUACUCCGGGAUACUGAAGUUUAUGUUAAUUUUUUAUACUGCGUUUUAUAGCUCCAUUAAUUGUUUUACAGUUAUGCUGGCAGCCAGCUAACACCUGUUUUCACUGCAUAAACAAUAGAGAGCAGGACGUCUGAGUAGCUGUCUAAAGUGUUCCAGUGGAGGAUCAGUAGAGGUGGUGUGAUGUUGACUCAGCUGGGCUGCUAUGCUCUGGUAUGACUCUGACACGGACACAACUCACAUCACUUCAAAUCCCACAAUAUGCAUUGCUAAUUUGUUUAGAAUUACAUAUAUUCUUUGAGAUGUAUUUAUAUUUUUAUGCAUGCUCCUCAUCUUCAGAGUGGCUUGUCAGAGGACAUGGUCAAAUGCUCAAAGGCCCUUAGAUGGUUUGUUUAGUGACAAAUAUGCCUCCUAACAAGUAAGAGUAGUGUACGUUUUGAGUGUUCCAGCACGAGCGUGCUUGUGUCAGUGCAUGCAGGCAUACUUACAUACCAUACUUUUGUUUAAGUCUAAGCUAUGCACCGGAGUUGUGUCAGUGCAUGCAGGCAUACUUACAUACCAUACUUUUGUUUAAGUCUAAGCUAUGCACCGGAGUUGUGUCAGUGCAUGCAGGCAUACUUACAUACCAUACUUUUGUUUAAGUCUAAGCUAUGCACCGGAGUUGUGUCAGUGCAUGCAGGCAUACUUACAUACCAUACUUUUGUUUAAGUCUAAGCUAUGCACCGGAGUUGUGUCAGUGCAUGCAGGCAUACUUACAUACCAUACUUUUGUUUAAGUCUAAGCUAUGCACCGGAGUUGUGUCAGUGCAUGCAGGCAUACUUACAUACCAUACUUUUGUUUAAGUCUAAGCUAUGAACCGGAGUUGUGUCAGUGAUGAUGCAUUCAUAUUAUAUUAAUACAGUGUGUUCCAUUUGUAUUGGGGCAGUGAAACUUGUUGUUUUGGCUCUGUACACUUUGGAUUUUAAAUGAUUCAAUGACUAUGAUGUUAAAGUGCUGACUGUCAGCUUUAAUUUGAGGUUAUUUUCAUCCAUAUCGGGUGAACCGUUUAGAAAUGACAGCACUUUUUGGAAAUAAUCCCCCCAUUUGGACAAAUGCACUUAUAUGUGUAUUAAAGUAGUAGAAAGUUAAGUAUUUGGUCCCAUAUUCAUCGCACGCAAUGACCACAUCAAGCUUGUGACUCUGCAAAUUUGUUGAAUGCAUUUGUUGUUUGUUUUGGUUGUGUUUCAGAUUAUAUUGUGCCCAAUAUAAAUGAAUGGUCAAUAAUGUAUCGUGUCAUUUUGGAGUCACUUUAAUUGUAAAAUAAGAAUAAAAUAUGUUUCUAAAUAUUUCUGCAUUAAUGUGGAUGCUACCAUGAUUACGGAUAAUCCUGAAUGAAUUGUGAAUAAUGAUGAAUGAGAAAGUUACAGCCAUUAUUUACCAUUCCUAUGUAUUGGGUACAAAAUAAUCUGAAACACAACCAAAACAAACAACAAAUGCAUUCAAUAAAUGUGUAGAGUCACAAGCUUGAUGUGGUCAUUGUGUGCCAAAUACUUAACUUUUUACUACUUUCAUACACAUACAAGUACAUUUGUCGUAAUACUUUUGGUGCCUUAAAAUGGGGGAACUAUGUAGAAAAAGUGCUGUAAUUUCUAAAUGGUUCACCCGAUUUGGAUAAAAAUAUCCUCAAAUUAAAUAUGACACUCUGCACGUCAACCUCACAGUAAUGAUAUAAUUUCAAAUCCAAAGUGCUGGAGUACAGAGCCAAAACAAAAAAAAGUGUCACUGUCUCAAUACUAUUUUAAAGAGUUGUUGUGCAAAGAAGAGAGCAGGGUUUUUGUGGAGGGAAUGUCUUAUGUGUGUGUUGUACCUGUGUGUCAGCUUUACCCUUUGGAUAGCCCACCCUGACUGUCUCUUGUGUGAGUCUAUGACAACCCUUUCCCUGUGGCCACUGGUUCUGUAGACUAUGUAGCUGAGGUAUGUGUAAGGUACCCAAUUGUCAUACUUGAGUAAAAGUAAAGAUACUUUAAUAUGAAAGGACUCAAGUAAAAGUGAGUCACCCAGUAAAAUCCUACUUGAGUAAAAGUCUAAAAGUAUUUAGUUUUAAAUAUACUUAAGUAUCAAAAGUCAAUGUAAUCUCAAAAAUGUACUUAAGUAUCAAAAGUAAAAGUAUAAAUCAUUUCAAAUUCCUUUUAUAAAGCAAACCAGACGGCACUCAUAUUUUUAUUACAUAUUUGUUUUACAGAUAGCCAGGAGCACCCUCUUACACUCAGACGUAAUUUACAAACAAAGUAUUUUUGUUUAGUUGGUCUGCCAGAUCAGAGGCAGUACAUAUGACCAGGAACGUUGUCUUGAUAAAUGCGUGACUUGGACCAUUUUCCUGUACUGCUAAGCAUUCAAAAUGUAAUGAGUACUUUUGAGUGUCGGGGAAAAUGUAUGGAGUAAAAAGUACAUGAUUUUCUUUAGGAAUGUAGUGAAGUAAAAGUAUACAUUGUCAAAAAUAUACAUAAAUAGUAAAGUAAAGUACAGAUACCAAAGAAAAAACUAUGUAGGUAGUACUUUAAAGUAUUUUACAUCCAUGGGUAUGCAGGUAUGCAGUCUUCCAAUCAAUUAGUUUGCACUAUAUGGACAGUUUUGAACAUUGUGGAAAAGUUGUGUUGUCAUCAGUAAUAAAUGUCUUAAAACUAUUCUGGUUGCAUGGAAUGCUGUUGUGCUUGAACGUACAACAAUGGAACACACAUAUGUUGGACACAAUACACA